rnacentral:rRNA from 1 species
GACGAACGCUGGCGGCGUGCUUAACACAUGCAAGUCGAACGGUGAAGGUGGAGCUUGCUCCGCCGGAUCAGUGGCGAACGGGUGAGUAACACGUGGGCAACCUGCCCCAGACUCUGGGAUAACUCCUCGAAAGAGGCGCUAAUACCGGAUACGAACUCCUUGGGCAUCCUUGGAGUUGGAAAGUUUUUCGGUCUGGGAUGGGCCCGCGGCCUAUCAGCUUGUUGGUGAGGUAACGGCUCACCAAGGCGACGACGGGUAGCCGGCCUGAGAGGGCGACCGGCCACACUGGGACUGAGACACGGCCCAGACUCCUACGGGAGGCAGCAGUGGGGAAUAUUGCGCAAUGGGCGAAAGCCUGACGCAGCAACGCCGCGUGAGGGAUGACGGCCUUCGGGUUGUAAACCUCUUUCAGCAGGGAAGAAGCGAAAGUGACGGUACCUGCAGAAGAAGCACCGGCUAACUACGUGCCAGCCGCCGCGGUAACAC